UAAGAAAAAAACAAACUCAUCAGAUUCCAGAUUCGAUGCCCAUAAUUUCGCUAACCGAUAUAAAAAAAAACAUCGAUCUGGGUUCUAAUAUUUUAUCGAUCUCUACUGCGAAGAAGAUUGGGAUUCUAGAAAUGGAAGAGGGAUUUCAAUCGGCAGGUCAAGGUAUACCGCGGAUCAUUGAUAAUGGAUGGUUGCCACAACUCCAAUUUAUCAUUUCAUCUCGAUGAUCUGCUCCCACAAAGAUAAUAAAUCUGUUUGUUAUUUCAAACAUAUCUUAUUUCCUUUUUUAUAAAAUUAUAAAUUAACGUGUACUUCUACUAUGUGUAGGUCACAGACUCAAUAAACUGCUGAUAUGUUGUCUACACACAAGAAGCUCUUUUCACAUAAGCAAUGGAAAAAGAUAAGUUAUUUGUUAGGUGCAAAGAAAAGAACCAUGACUGCUAAUGUUUUUGCGAAUCGUAAUGGACUUCUAGAAUACCUGGUAUUGAGAAGUCCAUUCUGGUCCUUGACGAUAUAUUAGGGGUCCUGUCUAUAAAACUGUGUGAUGGUCUUGGGGACAUGCCAUCAUUAGUAAGUCUGAUUGAGGUCAGCUGAGAGCCUUCACAUAAGAAAGAGAGAAGUGUGUUUUGUCGGUUGCGUCCUAUUGACUGGUAUGUUGCAUCAAAGAAUAAAUGUCCUAUAAUAAAAUAAAAGUGUAGCAGCUUUGAGUUGGAGAUUGGUAAGAGGUGUUUGGUUUUCUGCUUGACAUUUGCUGGGUGUGUGUAAACGCAUCUUCUUUGUACGCUGUGAUACUUCUUUUUGGAGAGUAGUCAGAAAUGGAUUCUGCGUAGUAGGAUAGAAGAAAUGAUUAAAGAUAUACAGAGCAAACAAUAGCAAGGCAACCAAAAAGCAAUCCCGCAGAAAAAAAACUAUAAAUUAUAUUACAUCGGCGAACUUUUGAUAAUUUCUCAAGGCGUCAAAUUUAUUCAGGGAUUAAUCUCUUCAUUCAAAAUUGGCUCAAACUUAGCAAGACUCAAGUAGUUGGAUGCAGAUACAUCUUCACAACGCGAGACAACCGUUCUAGUUUGAAAACCAAUCUUGUACAAAUGAUUAGUUGGGCGAAACUGACCAGUUGCAUGAGUAAGGCCGAAGGUUUCUACAAACUCCCACUCACCAACUCGAAGUUGAGGAGCAAACCGUGGAACUAAAUCCUUCUUCACGCUUGCAUGUAUUUUAACACCCUGAGAUAUAUAUGAAACGUAGCAAGUGUAUUGGCGCCAUGAAUGCAAGAUCUUGACUUGGAUCCUCCAUGAAGAUUUGUAAGGACGUAGAUCUCGGAGAAGGGCAAAUGAAGCUGCCAUUGAAUAGACGAAGGAGACUUUGUUGGUAAGGUAUGCGUUUUUGCUGUGGUAAGAUGUGAGGUUAGUUCCUCAUAUUCUUCCAUUAUUUAUAUUGAUGUGUAGAGUUUACUCUUAAAGAAAGAAUUUAAUGUAAUUCUUGGUGACCAAGGAGAAGAUCAAUGUCAAAUUUAAUGGAGGAAUUAUAGGAAUAGUUCAUUAUGUUGAUGUAAUAAGGAAGGCUUUGAAAGGUUUCUUCCUUAUUAUGUCCAUCGAAUAUUUUAUAUAGAGUCUUAUAAAGGAACUAACAAUAAUGUAGAACUUGCCUCAUUAUUUUGAUAUGAUUUUGGAAA